GUUGGGAGUUGUCUCGACUUGAGAUUUAUAAUCCAAACAAGCUAUUAAAGGAAGGAAAGCUCUGGGCUCUCUCCGACUCCACAAUCGAAACCCUAAGAAGCCGAGGAUGGUGCUUCGGAGGCGACUUUGAGAAACUCUAAACGAUGAUCCUGAUCCCCUGGGCAUUCGCCGAUGAAACCCGCACGGUGGUGAAGUCAAUGAAAUAGGAGCUCCUCAACAUGGAUCUCAAAUCCGUCGGAGCCAAGUCGUUACCCAACCCAGCCACUCUUCGCAAGUCAUCUCAUCUUCUCAGUCCCAAAGUCCUUCAGGCAAAUACACCUUCAUCUGAAUUUUUUUACUUAUGCCUUUCAGCAUAAAUGUUUUGCUUAGAAAUUUAUGAUUUUUUGUUAGUUUUGAUAAGAUAACUUGGGUUACAGACAUUAUGGGUAGCAAUUAAUGUUGACGAUUUUGCGAGAAAUUCUAGUCGGCGGCUUUUGAAACUUGGUCAAAGUGAUGGACAUGGUGAGGUUCCAGCUAUAGAGUACUCGCAUAUCCCUUCGUUCUCGGACGACGUCAUUUCGGGCACUAAGGUAAAGUAAACUGUGGGCAUAUAUCAAGUACAAAGCAUGCUGAGUUUGUCUGAGAUUCUGAAAAGUACAAAGCAUUGGGGAGCAGAAGAUGAUUCGAGAAGCCAAUGGCGACCCCAACAAGGCUAACAAGCCGUUCAUGCGCUCCUCAUCGAGCAACCCCAAUAAAUAUUGAUUUCUUCACAGAGUUCAUCAGUUGCUUCUUCUACGACGUCGUUUGGGAGCUCGAAGAAGAUGGUGUGGGUUUGGACGGAGAGCAAGCAGGUCAUGACGACCGCCGUGGAGAGAGGCUGGAACACCUUCCUGUUUCAGAGUCAGAAACUCGCCGAUGACUGGUCUUGCAGGUGAGCUUAUGAAAUUUGAGUACCAAAAGAAGGUCGCCUCGCUGAGCAAGCUAAAGAAAUGUAGUACUAACUCAGAAGCAUUGGAGAAAUCAAGAGCAGCAGUGAGUCAUCUGCAUAUAAGAUACAUAGUUGACAUGCAAUCCAUGGACCCAACAGUAUCAAAGAUAAACUCUUUUACUUUCAGCCU